rnacentral:tRNA from 1 species
GGAGAGUUGUCCGAGUGGCUUAAGGAGCACGCUUGGAAAGCGUGUGUGCGAGUGAUCGUACCGAGAGUUCGAAUCUCUCACUCUCCG